rnacentral:rRNA from 1 species
AUUGAACGCUGGCGGCAUACUUUACACAUGCAAGUCGAACGGUAACACGCCUUGAGGUUCUGACUAGUGGCGAACGGGGGCGUAAUGCAUCGGAACGUACCCAGAUCUAGGGGUUAACGGAGCGUAAGGUGGGCUAAUAUCCCAUAUUAUCUGAUGAGGACAGCGGGGGAAAGAUGGGCAAUUUUGGACCUCGCGCCUUUGGAGCGGCCGAUGUCGGAUUAGCUAGUUGGCGGGGUAAAGGCCCACCAAGGCGACGAUCCGUAGCUGGUCUGAGAGGAUGAUCAGCCACACUGGAACUGAGACACGGUCCAGACUCCUACGGGAGGCAGCAGUGGGGAAUAUUGGACAAUGGGCGCAAGCCUGAUCCAGCCAUACCGCGUGGGUGAAGAAGGCCUUCGGGUUGUAAAGCCCUUUUGUUGGGAAAGAAAAGCAGCAGGUUAAUACCCCGCUGUUCUGACGGUACCCAAAGAAUAAGCACCGGCUAACUUCGUG